AGAGUUUGAUCAUGGCUCAGAUUGAACGCUGGCGGUAUGCUUAACACAUGCAAGUCGAACGGUAACAUAGCUAGCUUGCUAGCUGAUGACGAGUGGCGGACGGGUGAGUAACGCGUAGGAAUUUACCUUUCGGUGGGGGAUAGCCCGGGGAAACCCUGGCUAAUACCGCAUACACUCUACGGAGAAAAGGAGGCCUCUUCUUGAAAGCUUUCGCUAUUGGAUGAGCCUGCGUGAGAUUAGCUAGUUGGUAGGGUAAAGGCCUACCAAGGCGACGAUCUCUAGCUGGUCUGAGAGGACGAUCAGCCACACUGGGACUGAGACACGGCCCAGACUCCUACGGGAGGCAGCAGUGGGGAAUAUUGGACAAUGGGCGCAAGCCUGAUCCAGCAAUACCGCGUGUGUGAAGAAGGCCCUAGGGUUGUAAAGCACUUUCAGCAGUGAAGAAAUGCUUAAGGUUAAUAACCUUGAGUCUUGACGUUAACUGCACAAGAAGCACCGGCUAACUCCGUGCCAGCAGCCGCGGUAAUACGGAGGGUCCAAGCGUUAUCCGGAAUCACUGGGCGUAAAGAGCGUGUAGGCGGGUUAAUAAGUUGGAAGUGAAAUCCUAUGGCUCAACCAUAGAACUGCUUUCAAAACUGUUGACCUAUAAUAUGGGAGAGGUAGAUGGAAUUUCUGGUGUAGGGGUAAAAUCCGUAGAGAUCAGAAGGAAUACCGAUUGCGAAGGCGAUCUACUGGAACAUUAUUGACGCUGAGACGCGAAAGCGUGGGGAGCAAACACGAUUAGAUACCCUGGUAGUCCAGGCCCUAAACGAUGCACGCUAGUUGUUGCUAUGCUCGACAUAGCAGUAAUGCAGUUAACACAUUAAGUGUGCCGCCUGGGGAGUACGGUCGCAAGAUUAAAACUCAAAGGAAUUGACGGGGGCCCGCACAAGCGGUGGAGCAUGUGGUUUAAUUCGAUGCAACGCGAAGAACCUUACCUACCCUUGACAUACAGAGAACCUUCCAGAGAUGGAUUGGUGCCUUCGGGAACUCUGAUACAGGUGCUGCAUGGCUGUCGUCAGCUCGUGUCGUGAGAUGUUGGGUUAAGUCCCGUAACGAGCGCAACCCUUAUCCUUAGUUACCACCAUUUAGUGGCUGAGGACUCUAGACAGACUGCCUGGGUAACCAGGAGGAAGGUGAGGACGACGUCAAGUCAUCAUGGCCCUUACGUCCAGGGCUACACACGUGCUACAAUGGGGUAUACAAAGAGCCGCGAUACCGUGAGGUGGAGCAAAUCUCAUAAAAUAUCUCCCAGUUCGGAUAGUAGUAUGCAACUCGACUACUUGAAGUUGGAAUCGCUAGUAAUCGUAGAUCAGCAAUGCUACGGUGAAUACGUUCCCGGGUCUUGUACUCACCGCCCGUCACACCAUGGGAGUUGAUUUCAUUCGAAGUAGCUAGUCUAACUGUUUACAGGGGACGGUUACCACGGUGUGAUUCAUGACUGGGGUAAAGUCGUAACAAGGUAACC
rnacentral:rRNA from 1 species